rnacentral:rRNA from 1 species
GAUUUCUGGCUGACCAUGAUGGUCGGGCGUCCCCAGGGCGCUUUGUACUGUCGUGUGUUUGCCAUCCUUCCAGAGAGUAGCGCCUACCGUCUCGUACGGCAGGGCGUUGCGAUCUGGAUCGUUUACUUUGAAAAAAUUAGAGUGUUCCAAGCAAGCUUACGCUUUGAAUACAUUAGCAUGGAAUAAUAAUAUAGGACUUCUGUUCUAUUUUGUUGGUUUCUAGGACCGAAGUAAUGAUUGAUAGGGACAGUUGGGGGUGCUAGUAUUCAGCGGCCAGAGGUGAAAUUCUUGGAUUCGCUGAAGACUAACCAUUGCGAAAGCAUU